rnacentral:rRNA from 1 species
ACACAUGCAAGUCGAACGGAAAGGCCCCUGCUUGCAGGGGUGCUCGAGUGGCGAACGGGUGAGUAACACGUGGGUGAUCUGCCCUGCACUUCGGGAUAAGCUUGGGAAACUGGGUCUAAUACCGGAUAGGACCAUCGUUUAGUGUCGGUGGUGGAAAGUUUUUUCGGUGUGGGAUGAGCUCGCGGCCUAUCAGCUUGUUGGUGGGGUAAUGGCCUACCAAGGCGUCGACGGGUAGCCGGCCUGAGAGGGUGUAACGGCCACAUUGGGACUGAGAUACGGCCCAGACUCCUACGGGAGGCAGCAGUAGGGGAAUAUUGCACAAUGGGCGCAAGCCUGACGCAGCGACGCCGCGUGGGGGAUGACGGCCUUCCGGGUUGUAAUACUCCUUUCGCCAAGGACGAAGAGAAUAUUGACGGUACUUGGAGAAGAAGCACCGGCUAACUACGUGCCAGCAGCCGCGGUAAUACGUAGGGUGCGAGCGUUGUCCCGAAUUACCUGGGCGUAAAGAGCUCGUAGGUGGUUUGUCGCGUCGUUUGUGUAAGUCCGCAGCUUAAGCUGCGGGACUGCAGGCGAUACGGGCAUAACUUGAGUGCUGUAGGGGAGACUGGAAUUCCUGGUGUAGCGGUGGAAUGCGCAGAUAUCAGGAGGAACACCGAUGGCGAAGGCAGGUCUCUGGGCAGUAACUGACGCUGAGGAGCGAAAGCAUGGGGAGC